AACGCUCUCGACGGUCCGUGAAAAGCCGAGCUACGCCGUAUAAAUUUGUGCUCGUUCGUACCGAUAUCCGCAGCAGGUCUCCAAGGUGAACAGCCUCUGGCCAAUUGAACAAUGCAGAUAAGGGAAGUCGGCAAAACGGAUCCGUACCAUCGGAACAAGGAUUGGCUCUAAGGGCUGAACCGGUCGGGCUGAUGCUUCGAUGCGUGUGUGGUGCGGUCGCUGGCUGCCGGUUGGAGGAGCGGUCCGUCCGCCCGGCGUUGGGCUCCCGUCGAUUGCUUGAGCGACUCUGUCGCGUUGGGCAUCAGCGAUUCGGAUGCGCUUCGCCGGAGCGCGGUCCUUCUGAAGCCGCAGACGGUAACGAAGCCUGCACGCGGACGACUUCAGCUGUGUGUGCUUGUCGGUAACUGACAAGCCACUUCGUCCGGCAUUGAACAGCCGACUUAGAACUGGCACGGAGCCGAGGAAUCGGACUGUAUAACUAAAACAAAGCAUUGCGACGGCUGGUGAUCGGUGAAGAAGAAAUACGCAUUUGGAGCGAAGAUCGAGGACAUUUGAAGAAAUAGAUCGGAAGAGCGGUUCAGCAGGAAUGCCGAGACCAUGCGAAAAACUGAUAUUUGUCGCUGUGUGUGCCUUUCCGAAGAAAUUGGUAAGCGAACGAUGCAUGUUUUGCAUGCUCGCAAGU
rnacentral:ncRNA from 1 species